rnacentral:snRNA from 1 species
AGACACACUCGCCAACCUAUAUCGAACAUGGUUCUUGCCUUUUACCAGAACCAUCCGGGUGUUGUCUUCGUCAGGUGCGAGGUCCAGUACUGAUUAUUUUUUGGAAUCCUUUUUUUUUUCUUGUU